CCGAUGUGGAGGAAAUGGGCUUCCUGGAAC
rnacentral:piRNA from 1 species